GAUGAAGAACGUAGCGAAAUGCGAUAAGUAGUGUGAAUUGCAGAAUUCAGUGAAUCAUCGAAUCUUUGAACGCACAUUGCGCCCCUUGGUAUUCCGAGGGGCAUGCCUGUUCGAGCGUCAUUAUAACCCCUCAAGCUCAGCUUGGUGUUGGGACCUGCUGCACUGGCAGCCCUUAAAAUCAGUGGCGGCGCCAUCUGGCUCUAAGCGUAGUAAUUCUUCUCGCUAUGGAGUCCUGGUGGAUGCUUGCCAUCAACCCCCAAUUUUUCUAUGGUUGACCUCGGAUCAGGUAGGGAUACCCGCUGAACUUAAGCAUAUCAAUAAGCGGAGGA
rnacentral:misc_RNA from 1 species